rnacentral:rRNA from 1 species
CGGGGGGGCAAGCGUUGUUCGGAAUUACUGGGCGUAAAGGGCGCGUAGGCGGUUUGCUAAGUUGGACGUGAAAACUCUGGGCUUAACCCAGAGCCUGCAUCCAAAACUGGCAAGCUGGAGUAUUGGAGGGGGAAGCGGAAUUCCUGGUGUAGCAGUGAAAUGCGUAGAUAUCAGGAGGAACACCGGUGGCGAAGGCGGCUUCCUGGACAAUAACUGACGCUGAGGCGCGAAAGCUAGGGGAGCAAACAGGACUAGAUACCCUGGUAGUCCUAGCCCUAAACGAUGGAUACUUGCUGUGAGGGGGAUUGAAUCCCUUCGUGGCGAAGCUAACGCAUUAAGUAUCCCGCCUGGGGAGUACGGUCGCAAGGCUG